rnacentral:rRNA from 1 species
AACCAGACUCCUACGGGAGGCAGCAGUGAGGAAUAUUGGUCAAUGGGCGCGAGCCUGGACCAGCCAAGUCGCGUGAGGGAAGACGGUCCUAUGGAUUGUAAACCUCUUUUGUCGGGGAGCAAAAAGGCCUCGUGAGGCCACAAGUGAGAGUACCCGAAGAAAAAGCACCGGCUAACUCCGUGCCAGCAGCCGCGGUAAUACGGAGGGUGCGAGCGUUAUCCGGAUUCACUGGGUGUAAAGGGAGCGUAGACGGCGACGCAAGUCUGGAGUGAAAGCCCGGGGCCCAACCCCGGGACUGCUCUGGAAACUGCGUCGCUGGAGUACGGGAGGGGCAGGCGGAAUUCCUGGUGUAGCGGUGAAAUGCGUAGAUAUCAGGAGGAACACCGGCGGCGAAGGCGGCCUGCUGGACCGUGACUGACGUUGAGGCUCGAGAGCGUGGGGAGCAAACAGGAUUAGAUACCCCCGUA